rnacentral:rRNA from 1 species
AUUGAACGCUGGCGGCAGGCCUAACACAUGCAAGUCGAGCGGAUGAAGGGAGCUUGCUCCUGGAUUCAGCGGCGGACGGGCGAGUAAUGCCUAGGAAUCUGCCUGGUAGUGGGGGAUAACGUCCGGAAACGGGCGCUAAUAUCGCAUACGUCCUGAGGGUGAAAGUGGGGGAUCUUCGGACCUCACGCUAUCAGAUGAGCCUAGGUCGGAUUAGCUAGUUGGUGGGGUAAAGGCCUACCAAGGCGACGAUCCGUAACUGGUCUGAGAGGAUGAUCAGUCACACUGGAACUGAGACACGGUCCAGACUCCUACGGGAGGCAGCAGUAGGGAAUAUUGGACAAUGGGCGAAAGCCUGAUCCAGCCAUGCCGCGUGUGUGAAGAAGGUCUUCGGAUUGUAAAGCACUUUAAGUUGGGAGGAAGAGCAGUAAGUUAAUACCUUGCUGUUUUGACGUUACCAACAGAGUAAGCACCGGCUAACUUCGUG